GGCGCGAGGCGGAAGCCGGCUCCGGGUCCGCAUUGGGGCCGGCGCGUCCCGGGGCGCCCGUCUCCUCAGUGGGCGCGUCUUGGCCCCGCCGCCGCCGCCGCCGCGCCGCGGGACGGGGAGACCGGGAUCCUGAAAUGAAUUCAUAGAUAUACUGCACUUACAAACCUGAUGGCAAAGAAGUGAACAGAAUCUCUUACUAUGAUGGAAAGGAGCUGUUACAGCUUGUUGCAUUCUGCCUGGUGGCCUAAACAGAACACUACCUUAAAGAUUUGUGGGUGGCCUACCGAACAUCAGAAGAUAUUUGUAAAUCGUAUAUCUGAUAUAAGGGGCUAAAAUCCAAAUAUACAAAGUACUCAUACAACUCAGUGGCAAAAAAUAUUGUGAUUAAUGAAUGGGCAGAGGAUCUGUACAGACCUUUUUCCAGAGAAGACAUACAGUUGGCCAGCAGGUGCAUGAAAAGCUGCUCAACAUCACCAGUUAUCAGGGAAAUGCAAACCAAAGCCACAGUGAGAUGUCACCUCAUGCCUGUUAGAAUGGCCAUCAUCAAAAAGACAAGAGAUAACAAGUUGGUGAAGUUAUGGAGAAAAAGGAACCUUCGUGCACUGUCAGUGGGAAGGUAAAUUUUUCCCCAUGCUUCUACACAUGUUUUAUUUUUUAAUUUUUUGGGGGUGGGGGGAAUGCAAAU